rnacentral:rRNA from 1 species
AUUGAACGCUGGCGGCAUGCCUUACACAUGCAAGUCGAACGGCAGCACGGGAGCAAUCCUGGUGGCGAGUGGCGAACGGGUGAGUAAUGUAUCGGAACGUGCCCAGUCGUGGGGGAUAACGUAGCGAAAGCUACGCUAAUACCGCAUACGAUCUAUGGAUGAAAGCGGGGGAUCGCAAGACCUCGCGCGAUUGGAGCGGCCGAUAUCAGAUUAGCUAGUUGGUGGGGUAAAGGCCCACCAAGACGACGAUCUGUAGCUGGUCUGAGAGGACGACCAGCCACACUGGAACUGAGACACGGUCCAGACUCCUACGGGAGGCAGCAGUGGGGAAUUUUGGACAAUGGGCGCAAGCCUGAUCCAGCAAUGCCGCGUGCAGGAUGAAGGCCUUCGGGUUGUAAACUGCUUUUGUACGGAACGAAACGGCCCUUUCUAAUACAGGGGGCUAAUGACGGUACCGUAAGAAUAAGCACCGGCUAACUACGUGCCAGCCGCCGCAGUAA